AGUGCAGGGUGUGUAUAGUGAAUGCAGAGUGUGUAUAAUGAAUGCAGUGUGUUUUUAGUGAGUGCAGAGUGUGUACAAUGAAUGCAGUGUAUGUAGUGUGUUUGUAGUGAAUGCAGAGUGUGUAUAGUGAAUGUAGUGUGUAGUGAGUGCAGAAUGUGCAUAAUAAAUGCAGAGUGUGUAUAGUGAAUGCAGAGGGUGUAUAGUGAAUGUAGUGUGUUUGUAGUGAGUGAAGAG